GGUGUGUAUCUAUAUGGUGUGUAACUAUGGUGUGUGUGUGUGUUUCUCUGUGGUGUAUACCUAUGGUUUGUAUCUGUCGUUUGUGUGUGCAUAUGGUUUGUAUCUAUAUGUUGUGUGUGAAUCUAUAUGUGUGUAUCUGUGGUGUGUGCGUGUGGGACAGUUUGACCACUGUCCCUGUCUGUUUAACUGCCCGUCAAUAGCGCGCAUUGAUGGAUAGUGCAUGAACAGCAAACCUUCAAGCAUACAAUAUACAUACAAGCUCUUUAUUCAAGCCACAAACAAUCUCCCUCUCACCAUGGCUCGGUACUGCAGACUAAAAGAGUCGCGGUGGGGCUGAGGUGUUUAAAUAUGGUGUCAGGAAACACCUGCUGCCACUGAUUGGCCCAAUUUGGGCCAAACCAUUUUUCCUUGUGUCAAAGGAGGACACUGAACAUUGACAUUGGACAUUAAUGAGCGACAAGCCUAAAUGCACUAGUGAAAAUCACUGAUCUAAAAGUUGAAAUGGACUUUAACAUGCAUGCUGUAUAUUUGAUGAGUUUAUUCAUGGUUGACCUGCAAUAUGCCAAAGUAUUAUAAUCCCCCUGUUGAUUGAGCCUGUCUAGUGGGAGGGGGCAUGGGGUAUAAAAGGGGUGAGCUGCUGACCUUCUGACAGUCUGCUGGAUGCUGUUGCCAGAAGAGGUUGUCUGUGUUGAGCAGGGUGCUCAGCUCUCCACGAGAUGCUAAAUAUCUACUGAGGUUAGAGACUUUUUGAGGUAAAGAGGAGCAUCUCAUCUGAACCUGAUGUCUAUCAUGGAUAUUUAACUGCAGUUCUGUGAGUAUCCCAACUUAACCAUGAAGAUGAACUGCAAACUGUAAGUCAUUAAUAUCUCAUUACUCUUGGGCACAUUGAUGUAUUUUGGCUUCCUGGUGAGUUAACCUGUUACCUCACGGUUGAUCUGCGUAGUAAGGAUGUUUUAUUGGUUCAUGGGUUACUUAGGUGUUUGGUUAAUGUUGGUUUUAAUGAUUUGUUAAAAUGGUUACAGGCUUACAAGUUAUUGUUGUAAGCUGACAUCUGCAGUCUU